rnacentral:rRNA from 2 species
UUUGACCUCAAAUCAGGUAGGACUACCCGCUGAACUUAAGCAUA